UACGUAGGGGGCUAGCGUUGUCCGGAUUUAUUGGGCGUAAAGAGCGUGUAGGCGGCCAGGUAGGUCUGCUGUGAAAACUCGAGGCUCAACCUCGAGACGUCGGCGGAAUCCAUCUGGCUAGAGUCCGGAAGAGGAGAGUGGAAUUCCUGGUGUAGCGGUGAAAUGCGCAGAUAUCAGGAAGAACACCCGUGGCGAAGGCGGCUCUCUGGGACGGUACUGACGCUGAGACGCGAAAGCGUGGGGAGCGAACAGG
rnacentral:rRNA from 1 species